rnacentral:rRNA from 1 species
AACGAACGCUGGCGGCAUGCCUAACACAUGCAAGUCGAACGAGAUCUUCGGGUCUAGUGGCGCACGGGUGCGUAACGCGUGGGAAUCUGCCCUUUGGUUCGGAAUAACAGUUGGAAACGACUGCUAAUACCGGAUGAUGACGAAAGUCCAAAGAUUUAUCGCCAGAGGAUGAGCCCGCGUAGGAUUAGCUAGUUGGUGUGGUAAAGGCGCACCAAGGCGACGAUCCUUAGCUGGUCUGAGAGGAUGAUCAGCCACACUGGGACUGAGACACGGCCCAGACUCCUACGGGAGGCAGCAGUGGGGAAUAUUGGACAAUGGGCGAAAGCCUGAUCCAGCAAUGCCGCGUGAGUGAUGAAGGCCUUAGGGUUGUAAAGCUCUUUUACCCGGGAUGAUAAUGACAGUACCGGGAGAAUAAGCUCCGGCUAACCCCGUGCCAGCCGCCGCCUAA